rnacentral:rRNA from 1 species
UGGGGAAUAUUGCACAAUGGAGGGAACUCUGAUGCAGCGACGCCGCGUGAGUGAUGAAGGAAUUCGUUUCGUAAAACUCUGUUCUAUGGGAAGAAAAGGACUGUACCAUAGGAGAAAGCUCCGGCUAAAUACGUGCCAGCAGCCGCGGUAAUACGUAGGGGGCUAGCGUUGUCCGGAAUCACUGGGCGUAAAGGGUUCGCAGGCGGAAAUGCAAGUCAGGUGUAAAAGGCAGUAGCUUAACUACUGUAAGCAUUUGAAACUGCAUAUCUUGAGAAGAGUAGAGGUAAGUGGAAUUUUUAGUGUAGCGGUGAAAUGCGUAGAUAUUAAAAAGAAUACCGGUGGCGAAGGCGACUUACUGGGCUCAUUCUGACGCUGAGGAACGAAAGCGUGGGUAGAAAACAGG